GCAUUGCUAGCUCAAUGGUAGAGCAUUAUACUUCGGAUAUAAUUAUAUUGGUUCGAUUCCAGUGUGAUGCU
rnacentral:tRNA from 1 species